rnacentral:rRNA from 1 species
GAUGAACGCUGGCGGCGUGCCUAAUACAUGCAAGUCGAGCGAAUGGAUUAAGAGCUUGCUCUUAUGAAGUUAGCGGCGGACGGGUGAGUAACACGUGGGUAACCUGCCCAUAAGACUGGGAUAACUCCGGGAAACCGGGGCUAAUACCGGAUAACAUUUUGAACCGCAUGGUUCGAAAUUGAAAGGCGGCUUCGGCUGUCACUUAUGGAUGGACCCGCGUCGCAUUAGCUAGUUGGUGAGGUAACGGCUCACCAAGGCAACGAUGAGUAGCCGACCUGAGAGGGGGAUCGGCCCCACUGGGACUGAGACACGGCCCAGACUCCUACGGGAGGCAGCAGUAGGGAAUCUUCCGCAAUGGACGAAAGUCUGACGGAGCAACGCCGCGUGAGUGAUGAAGGCUUUCGGGUCGUAAAACUCUGUUGUUAGGGAAGAACAAGUGCUAGUUGAAUAAGCUGGCACCUUGACGGUACCUAACCAGAAAGCCACGGCUAACUACGUGCCAGCCGCCGCAGUAA